UGUGAUCAAGAAGGUAUCACUGGUGUAACACACCUAUCAAGUAUUCAGCCAAAUAGCUAAGGGCCCACUUUUCCAUGUAGUCAGUUUUGGGAUCCUUUCAUGCUUUUUGGAAACCCCUCUACAUUUUUCUAUAGAAUCCAACUUUCACGAAUUAAUGGGAUAAACUAUACCUGACUGUCAGCAUUCUUAUUAUGUUUGUUCAUGUUUCUGUAGGUCUUUUUUUUCUGCAGCCUCUGUAAAUGAGGAAAAUUAUAAGAUUUUAGUCCGAAAUCUAGUCAUCUAGUAUAUCAGUAUAUCAAGAUGCUAAUUUACUUUGAGGUGACAUCAAAUAAAUAUUCAAAUUUUAUAUUUUUAUUUUAAUUUUUUUUUAAAAUUGUAUUUCAGCUGCAGAGUGUUUUGAAAAACUUCCAACUGCAGAUAUUUACGUCAUGGAACAAAUCAAACAGAGACAGGGCUCCAAAAAUCCUGGAACGAGCGUAGCUUUUAUGAUGAGAUUACAAAUAUUGUCAAUGCUCAUCCCUAUGUUAUCCGCCAGGCGUCCCUCUCCUUUCAGUAAGGAAAAUGAUACCAGCGUCUCCAGGAUAGCACUUCUGAAGCCCUAUCUUGCUAGCAGAUUGUUCAAUCUCUUAGUUGCAGAUGAGCAAAUAGCAGUUGAGCCUAUUGUGAAAAGAUGUUGAAUAAUGAGCCUUCCAGAACGCACUCUCCUUUGAAAAUUUCGGAUGAUGCUCGCCACUCGUAUCAAGCAAGCAGAUCAGCUUUCGACCGUGAAAACAUGGGUGUUGCCCUCCUUAUGAACGUCACUUUCAUGGAAUUACUUGUCUAUGCAAAUCCUAGUAGUCAUACAAUUUUAUUGAAGAAUUUUGAUGACUUUGUGAGGCGUUAAUGGUUUUGAGGUCAAAAAACACCCAGACUUAGAGAGAGCCACUCAAUGAGAAAGCCUGUUUAAGAAUUUUGGUAUGUGAUCUACUAUUUUGUUACUGUGUCUGAAAAUUACAUAGGUUAUUAGAUGGUCUUUCUACAAUUUUUACCAUUUCUUUUGUUGAAUUAUUUUUAUGGGUCAAAAAGUAACUGAAUAACUGAAAGAUCAAGUGAUUAUAUCAACAUAUUAAUCCUGCAAGUCAUUUUCUUACAUUUUGUUGAUGGUAGGAUGAGUGCAAUGCCGUCUCUUAUCGAAUUUUCCUUUUAUUAAUUCACUUUAAUAAAGAGUAUUUGAUGCGUAGGUUUUGUUAAUGAUAAAAAAAUUAAAUUUAACAAAUUUUAGUUUUCAAGGGGGGGGGGGGGGUGGAAUAGGGCAUAGAUACUCCCAUGAGGUCAAGAAAGACGUAAGUAUCAAACAUAUCUUAAUUUCCUCAUUUGAUGUGCAGGAAAAGAAUUUUCUGACGUCAACCCUAAGUAAGUGUUAAUGCCCCAAAUCCAAGAUGGCAGCCAAAAUAUCAAUGCUGACAUAACUUUUCAAUAAUCGGCCCAUAAGAGACAAGGAGUCCAAAGUCUGCUGGUCCUUCACCUGCCUGUAUUUGUAUAAUGAAUAUGUACCUGAUCUAAGUUCUGAAGAGGUUGUUCUCACUAUGAACUGGAACUUUUGAAGGAGCUUUUUGUGUUGAAAUACAAUAAUUGCGAGAACUUACAAGUCUAUCAUUAUCUUUGUCCAUGCCUGACUAUGAACAGUAUCGCUUCUCCAAUGGUUUCAUGUUGGUGAUGCCCUUAAAUGUGUUGAUUACAAUCCAUUUUAUCUGGGUUGCAUACAUGGCCCCCGAUAAGUUCAAAUUUCAAGGAAAAUGAAAUUUCAUUCUACAGGAUAAUGAUAUUUCAUUCCAUGAAACAUAUUGCAUUUCUGGUACCUAAAAUCCCACCAACCUAUCAUUCCGCUCUCAGAAAGCAGGCUAAAACGAUCAAAAUCAAAAAAGUCCAUUUGUUCUGAGUGGAAACAUCGAAUAUGGAAUGACCUAGUUACUAAAUCAGUCAGUGACAUAAUAGUCACCCCUUUAGACCAGGGUUGCCGUUUUUAAUGAAAUAUAAAAUCUUGAAGUUUCGUGUGUAAUAUUUCAUGAUUUUCCGUUUAUGAAAAAUACUAUUGGAAAUGAAAUGCAAAAAAUAAUAAUUUUCCCUUUUUGGUAUCUUGUAGUGCAGAAAUAUAUUGGGUUUCCCAAAAGUGCGGUUCACACCCUCUAAAAUUUUACCUACCUAACUCAUAUUUUGAAACGAAACUUUAUGAGGGUAUAUGUGGAUCAGUGUGAGAUACUUUUAGGGCCCUCAAAAUUUUCAGGGGCCUACCUCAGGGGGGUUGCAGACCCCAACUGUGUUCCAAAUAGCAACCCCUCCCCUUUCAUGACACUUCAAGCGAAAGAAAAAUAAAAUACAUUUUCCCGCAUAAACCGCAGAUCGCCUUUUUGAUUUUUUACAAAAUGACAGCUGCCGGUCGAAGUUCA
rnacentral:lncRNA from 1 species